rnacentral:rRNA from 1 species
GACGGAGGGUGCUAGCGUUGUUCGGAAUUACUGGGCGUAAAGGGCGCGUAGGCGGCCUGGUCAGUCGGAUGUGAAAGCCCGGGGCUCAACCCCGGAACGGCAUCCGAGACGGCCAGGCUGGAGACCGGGAGAGGAGAGUGGAAUAGCCAGUGUAGAGGUGAAAUUCGUAGAUAUUGGCUGGAACACCUGUGGCGAAAGCGGCUCACUGGACCAUAACUGACGCUGAUGCACGAAAGCUAGGGGAGCAAACAGG